UUUCAACUGAUCUCUUUCUCCUUCCAACAGUCAUAGAUAAUGCGGAUGGCUCACGUUACACUGAUGGCGUGAAACACACUGACCCAACUCCGGUUACAGAUGAUCAUGUGGGUAGUGGUUCAAUACAUGACGGAGAUACAAUGAACCCCACCAUCAUCAGAACUCACACGCCUGGCACCCCAUAUUAUGAAGAGACAACCCCAGAUGCACUGUCAACAGAUUAUUCUUCUGGGUCGGGCAAAAAGGAAUAUCAUCCCACAAGUACCAAUCUCAGCUCACAUGAUGAUGGUGCAGAUGGUGAAGACUCAACACAGGAUCCCUUAAUACCAGUAAUUUCCCUCGGAGGGGACAACAGUGAUGACAAGGAACAGCACCCUCCAAGUAGCACUGCGAACCCGCAUCAUGGUGCACAUGAGGAAACCUCCACCCAACAUGAGGGGAAUCCGUCCCCUGACAUUUGGUGGUGGUCCAGUACAGAUCACAAGGAGAAGCAUCCAACCACAGCAACUAAGGGUAAAUAAUAUGUCUUUUUAACUACUUGAG
rnacentral:lncRNA from 1 species